rnacentral:rRNA from 1 species
UACAGAGGGGGCAAGCGUUGUUCGGAAUUACUGGGCGUAAAGGCGCGUAGGCGGCCUGUUAAGUCGAACGUGAAAUCCCCGGGCUCAACCCGGGAACUGCGUCCGAUACUGGCAGGCUUGAAUCCGGGAGAGGGAUGCGGAAUUCCAGGUGUAGCGGUGAAAUGCCUAGAUAUCUGGAGGAACACCGGUGGCGAAGGCGGCAUCCUGGGACCGGCAUUGACGCUGAGGCGCGAAAGCCAGGGGGAGCA